rnacentral:rRNA from 1 species
CAAUAGCGUAUAUUAAAGUUGUUGCAGUUAAAAAGCUCGUAGUUGGAUUUCUGGUGGGAGCGAUCGGUCUGGCGCUUAGCGCGAGUACUUGCAUCGUCUCCGGCCAUCCUUGGGGAGAGUCUGUCUGGCAUUAGGUUGUCGGGCAGAGGAUCCUCAUCGUUUACUGUGAAAAAAUUAGAGUGUUCAAAGCAGGCUUAUGCCGUUGAAUAUAUUAGCAUGGAAUAAUAAGAUAGGACUUUGGUACUAUUUUGUUGGUUUGCGCACCAAAGUAAUGAUUAAUAGGGACAGUUGGGGGUAUUCGUAUUCCGUUGUCAGAGGUGAAAUUCUUGGAUUUACGGAAGACGAACUACUGCGAAAGCAUUUACCAAGGACGUUUUCAUUAA